UGGUGGAGUGAUUUGUCUGGUUAAUUCCGAUAACGAACGAGACCUUAACCUGCUUAAUAGCCAGGCCGGCUUUUGCUGGUCGCCGGCUUCUUAGAGGGACUGUCAGUGUCUAACUGACGGAAGUUUGAGGCAAUAACA
rnacentral:rRNA from 1 species